UUCUGCUGUAUUUUUCUAGAUCUGUUGUUUAACGAAAGUAUAUUCACUCCCAUCCAACAUUGUACCACCGGGAGUUUGUCACAAUGCAAGGACAGCAGUCAAUGCAUCCUGAAGCCCCUCAAGCUCCAAGAAUCCAACAUACUGUUUUAGUGGAACAGCCUCUACCCAGGGAUGACAUUGUCUGGUCGCUUUGGAGCCUUACACACUUCAACCCAUGCUGUCUUGGAUUGUUAGCAGUGUUUUAUUCCAUAAAGUCCAGGGAUAACAAGAUGGUUGGAGACUUGGACGGAGCAAGAAAACACUGGGAGAUUGCACGUCGCUUCAACAUUGCGUCCCUGACCCUGGCAGUAAUUCUGACCAUUGUGCUGAUUAUUGUAUAUAGCAAAGCAAUACAGACACAAAAGUAGGAUCAACACACUGUUGUUAAUUGAUGUUUUUAACUGAUGCGCCAAUGUCACUGACCAGGGAGAUGGACGAGUAUUACUAAUGAGUCCAGCAAUCAAAGUUAAUUUGUGUGGUGUCCAGUUGGAAAUUACACCAUAGACUUCAGCCUUAAACCUUUAGCCUUGUGUUAUUUCUAUUUUGAUUUUGUAACAUUUAAAGAAUUGUCAGGUGGAUUUAAGUUUCUCUAUGUGAAUUCAGUGUGUCUUCAUUUAAAAAACAGUAUGUUCCAGUCUUUUAUUUUCAUUUUGGAGUUGGUCCAAAUAUGACAUUUCUUCUGGCUUUAUACAUUUGAUCUAACCUCUUACACAAUCACAUACAUCUGUAAUUCCUUUAGCACUGGGUACAAUAUGUUCUUUGCACUACUUCAGUUCUGUGUUUCACAAACUAUACAUUUUCAUGUGUCAUACAUGUUUUUCCUUCUUAAAAAAACAACUAUAAUAAAAACAGUCAAGGUAAACUUG